CCUACGGGUGGCAGCAGGGGGGAAUAGUGGGCAAUGGGCGCAAGCCGGACCCAGCAACGCCGCGGGAAGGAAGAAGGCCCUCGGGUUGUAAACUUCUUGUAUCAGGGACGAAACAAAUGACGGUACCUGAUGAAUAAGCCACGGCUAACUACGUGCCAGCAGCCGCGGCAAUACGUAGGGGGCAAGCGUUAGCCGGAUUUACUGGGUGUAAAGGGCGUGUAGGCGGGAGAGAAAGUCAGACGUGAAAUUCCCGGGCUCAACCCUGGAACUGCGUUGGAAACGGUUCUUCUUGAGUGCUGGAGAGGCAGGCGGAAUUCCGUGUGUAGCGGUUACAUGCGUAGCUAUCCGGCGGAACACCAGUGGCGAAGGCGGCCUGCUGGACCUUAACUGACGCUGAGGCGCGAAAGCGUGGGGAGCAAACAGGAUUAGAUACCCGAGUAGUC
rnacentral:rRNA from 1 species